GAAGAGGAAGGUCUAAUAAAAUUUUGGUGUCCUCAGUAGAUGGACUGAUCUGAAAAUAUCUACUCUACCAUUGUCAGAAACAUAAACCUACCAAGGACUAUUGAAGUAAAGCUGGAUAGAGAUUGUAGAACUACAAAGAAACCUGAACUUGAAGAAAAUUUCAGGCCUAAUUGCCAUGAGUAGAACCUUUAUCACAACAUUGAAUAUAUUUGGUGAAAGCAGACAUCAUUGGCUUCCUAUCAUAUGGGGAUCAAACUUGGAACCAUGAUGGAUUGGGACGACACU